rnacentral:rRNA from 1 species
GACGAACCGUGCGAACGUUGUUCGGAAUCACUGGGCUUAAAGGGCGCGUAGGCGGCCCGCCGCGUCCGGGGUGAAAUCCUCCCGCUCAACGGGAGAACGGCCUCGGAUACGGGCGGGCUGGAGGGGGGUAGGGGCACGCGGAACUGUGGGUGGAGCGGUGAAAUGCGUUGAGAUCCACAGGAACUCCGGUGGCGAAGGCGGCGUGCUGGACCCCAUCUGACGCUGAGGCGCGAAAGCCAGGGGAGCGAACGGG